AACGCACAUUGCGCCCUUUGGUAUUCCGAAGGGCAUACCUGUUCGAGCGUCAUUUCAUCUCUCAAGCAUGGCUUGGUUUUGGGCGUCUGUCGUUGUCUCCAACGACUCGCCUUAAAGCGAUCGGCUGCCGGCAUAUUGGUCGGGAUGCACACAGUAGAAUCGUGCUGUGUUCCGACGUGUUUUGUCUAUGUAGGCCGUGGCAAAACGUUCUUUUUAUACCGUUUGACCUCGGAUCAGGUAGGAAUACCCGCUGAACUUAA
rnacentral:misc_RNA from 1 species